CAGAAAAAGCACUAGAAUUGGUGAUACCAAACAACUUGUGACUACCCUGAUAAAGCGAGCCACUGAACGAUUAGAGAUAUCUGUUACAUACCUGUUCGCGUCUGAAUAUUUUCCUGGAAUUUUUCUAAAAGAAAUUCUCAAGAGAAUGUUUGUAUUGACUUCAGAAACAAGCUUCGACUCCUUGUGGGAUUUUUAAAAGUUCUAAUUCUUACAGCCACCAGAUGCCUGCGUUCUUGUUCGAAUUUAAGAAAAUCAGACCUAGCAUCAGGAAUAUUGGUCUCCCUGCGGUGCCUCACUUGCCACCUGGUAUCUGAAGAGCUGCGCUCCGGUCUCCUGAUUCAUCCGCACACGGCCCAGGCCCUCCGUUCCGUCAUGAGGCUGAUGCAUUCCCAGGAGAGGCAGGACAGACAGACUACCAGAGACCGUACCAUCCAGAGCUGCUCGGUCCAGCCACAUUCAUUAACAAAUGGAAUCCUUUCUCAGGGUGUGUGUAUUCUUUACCAGAUAUAUAAAAAUAAACCACUUUUAUAAAAAUAUUUUCCAUAUAGAAAAAAAAAGCCCCGCCACAAAGCAAAAAAGUGCCAAAAAGUUUUGCUAGUUGGCACCAAGAGAACUAGAACCCA
rnacentral:lncRNA from 1 species